UACAGAGGGGGCAAGCGUUGUUCGGAAUUACUGGGCGUAAAGGGCGCGUAGGCGGCCGCCUAAGUCAGACGUGAAAUCCCUCGGCUCAACCGGGGAACUGCGUCUGAUACUGGGUGGCUUGAAUCCGGGAGAGGGAUGCGGAAUUCCAGGUGUAGCGGUGAAAUGCGUAGAUAUCAGGAGGAACACCUAUUGCGAAGGCAGCUCGCUGGGACGUAACUGACGCUGAGACGCGAAAGCGUGGGGAGCAAACAGG
rnacentral:rRNA from 1 species